CUCUGGGUAAUUGUCUAGCAAAUGUCCAAAUAUGUCGGCGCUAUAUACUUUCUGGUCAACUAGAUGAUGGAGGAAAAGGAUGGAGAAAGGCGCUAGGGUCUAUGGUAGGCCUCCCACAUGCAAUGCGGUGUACUGGAGCCAUUUUACAUACAUGCCGUUUGAGUCAACGCCAGCACCUCCCAGAGAGAAGGUUGAACAAUGGAGCCAAGCAGAGCUGUUGCCCUGCAGGAGUUCACACACUAGCCGGAAGAAGGAUGCACAUGUGUCCGUGUCCUGCCAGUCUCCCACCUUCCGUCCACUACAGAACUGAUGUUCUUGCUCUCCAAGUCCGUGCACACCUUAUGUUAAUCAUCCACUCAUGGGCCAAACACAGUGAAGCAGAUCAACAGAAUCACAGUGAGUGGAAGAGGCCUGGGAGAAGCGGUUGCUAUUUUUAUAAUCGCUGCUCUACUACGGUCUCGAUUUUCCAAACUCUCCCUUGUCUCCUCAAGAUGCUUUUUAUGACCUUUUCCUAUUGGUGACCUUUACCAGCACCAACCCAGCCCACUUUGGAAUCUCAAAAGGCAAGGGCUCAAAUCUUGAUCGCAGAUCUCUUAUAAGGGUCCUCGGUCGCCCUCCAAGCUUGCCCUCUGUGAAAUCUCAGGAAAGCACUUUCUCAGUGACAGGGAAUAAAGACUGGUAUCGGACUCUGAGAAAUUACUCACAAAAUAACAAAAAUCCUUUGCUUUCUGUUCCUAGACCAGUGCUCUGCAACCUCAGCUCUACUUUGGAAAAACCUGAUGGAAAAAAAAAAAAAUGAGUUCUAUCCUCCCCAGAUUCCAGUGC